rnacentral:rRNA from 1 species
CACACCGCCCGUCACGCCAUGGGAGUCAGUUGCUCCAGAAGUGCCUGAGUUAACCGCAAGGAGACAGGGUACCAAGGAGUGGUUGGCGACUGGGGCG